rnacentral:rRNA from 1 species
GAUGAACGCUGACAGAAUGCUUAACACAUGCAAGUCUUUGGCGAAGCUGUGCUUGCACAGCCUAGCCAAGGCGGACGGGUGAGUAACGCGUAAGGAACUUGCCCUGCAGUCAGGGAUAACAGACGGAAACGACUGAUAAGACCUGGUAAAGUCAGGCGGACUCAUGUCCAGCCUGAUGAAAAGAGAUGCUGCAGGAGAGCCUUGCGUCCUAUUAGCUUGUUGGUGGGGUAACGGCCCACCAAGGCGAUGAUAGGUAGCCGGCCUGAGAGGGUGGACGGCCACAAGGGGACUGAGAUACGGCCCCUACUCCUACGGGAGGCAGCAGUGGGGAAUAUUGGACAAUGGGGGCAACCCUGAUCCAGCAAUUCUGUGUGCACGAUGAAGGUUUUCGGAUUGUAAAGUGCUUUCAGCAGGGAAGAAAAAAAUGACGGUACCUGCAGAAGAAGCGACGGCUAAAUACGU